rnacentral:rRNA from 1 species
UACCCCAAACCGACACAGGUGGUCAGGUAGAGAAUACUCAGGCGCUUGAGAGAACUCGGGUGAAGGAACUAGGCAAAAUGGUGCCGUAACUUCGGGAGAAGGCACGCUGGCGGUAGGUAAAGUCCCUCGCGGACAGAGCUGAAGCCAGUCGAAGAUACCAGCUGGCUGCAACUGUUUAUUAAAAACACAGCACUGUGCAAACACGAAAGUGGACGUAUACGGUGUGACGCCUGCCCGGUGCUGGAAGGUUAAUUG